UCGUGACUCGAAGUUAAUCAGUGCAGCUGAGUGCGACCAGUGUUGAUAGUUCAUGAUAGCUCGAGUAGUUUUGGAUGAUUUGGACCACUUGGACUUUGGAAAUCUGUACACACCACACGAAAUUGGUUUGAUUUCGUAACAGUACAUAUACCUAUAUGCGUUAAUUUUUUUUUAUUUUUCGUUGGUACGUGAAAAAUAAGUAUGUUAUCGUUUUUUCGUAAAUUGUCGUUAUCGGACAAAGUUAAGGAAGGCAUACUGCCGUACGGAGUUAUGGCCACCCCAGAAGAUCUUUUGAAAGCUAAAAACCAGAGCAGUUUAUUAUUGAAGGAUGAAAAUGAGCUGAGGGAAACUAUUUAUGAUUUGCUCCGAACAAUAAAAGACCCCGAAAAACCCCAAACCCUUGAAGAACUGGAUGUUGUGUAUGAGGAUUGCGUCCACAUAAAUAAACCGACAACAAAAGGUGUCUCAGUGAUUCGAAUUGAGUUUAACCCAACAGUACCACACUGUUCCUUAGCUACGCUCAUCGGUCUCUGUAUCCGUGUUAAAUUAGAACGUCACUUAAUCGCUUCGUUCAAACUGGAUAUCUAUAUCAAGGAAGGGGCUCAUGCAACAGAAGAUGAAAUUAACAAACAAAUAAACGACAAAGAACGAAUCGCCGCUGCAAUGGAAAACCCUAACUUGAGAGAUCUUGUUGAGAAGUGUAUUCAAGAGGAAGAAUGACCUGAUUAAAUUAUAUCGAUUUUACAUACCUGACUGGCUUUGCAUUUGGAAUGUCUUCCGCAUAUAUGCUGGGAUGAUUGUUGGGGAUCUUUUGGUGUGUUUGAAAAUUCGAUGUUCAUCUCACAAAAAUAGUUAAUUCCUUCGAUUGGUGAGACAACUAUUUCUUCAUUCAAAUCUUUCCAGCACUUCUCACCUGAAUCAUACAAUAAAAUUACUAAAUGUCUUGUUAAGUUCCGGUAAUCUUUUUAUUUCCAAUUAAAAGUCAAUCACACAGAGACCUGAGUUGAUAGCACAAAUUUGGAGACAAUCAAAAAUAACAUUUGGAACAAACUAUGUUGCGACAUUUAUAUUUUUAUUCUGAAUACCACAUCAAUCUUACAUGCUCGAAGUUGUCGCUACAUUUGAUAUCUUUGGCAAUUAAAACAACAUGUCGCUCCAAAGUGUAGAUCCAAUCACUGAUCAUUCGGGAAACAAAUUUCUUCACCUCAAACAAGUUUGUGGUAUCUGUCACCUUUUUUACCAUGAGUAACUGUUUGGCCAGUACUUUUUGGGGAUCUCGUAAUCCAUGAUUCUUCAAAUAUUUUAAGACCGAUUUUCUAGACGCGUGAAUAAGUUCAAUUUAAAUAAUUUCAAUGCUCAUUUCACAUCCAUGACAGCUGGAGCUUUUAGUAAGUUUUGCAUAUGUAUCACCUGAUUAUUCGACGUGAUGUAAUUAUGAAAAUUGUACAGAGAAACCCGAUGAUGUCAAUGUUGUUUACUGGUAUGACAUUCAGUAAAUUUAAUAUUACUGAAAACGAAGAUGGGCUGUUCACAAACCUGGCCAGAAGCACCAUCAAAGUAUCUUUGAUCUGUGGAAAAUAUGUAGUAAUUGUAUACAAUUAAACAGCAUUUAGAAUA
rnacentral:misc_RNA from 1 species